AUCCCAUGAUGAGGGCACUUACAAAGUAAUUCUUUGAAUCGCUACCACGCCUCGUGCAAAGAUUCGUCAUCCAAUUGUUGAAAAGUGGUUAUCUCAUUUCGCAACUU
rfam:Gossypium raimondii chromosome 7, whole genome shotgun sequence.